GUUCCGGAGGGCUUCAGACUGCUGGAGCUGUGCCGGAGCAAAUACACAGCGCACCGGACCUGGUGGAAAUUAACACAUAGAAAAAAGUGAAACCUAUCAGCUUCACUGGCGUGGCGGAGACGUAAUGCAGCGGACACACUUCUGGUGGAAUCUAGGGGCAAGUUUUGCAACUUACACCAACAGUCAGCAAGAUGCCGCCCUCGGUACAUUUCCAAUACAGUUCUAGAGAAUUGAAGGCCCGUCCUGCAUUGCCUCAAAAUGUUUUGAACAGCGCAAAGGAACCCUGACUUUGUGGUCCAGAUGAGAAACUGCAUGAUCUUAAUUGGAGGAGCCCGAGUUGCCGCUGGUUUGUGACAGCAGUUAGAGAGAUGCUGAGAUCUUGACAGUAUCCUGAUACAAAGACUGGCCUGUCGUCACAGCGUCACUGCCCACUUCAGACUCUGCGGUUCUGACCUUGUGUUGGCGAGAACAGACCCCAGCAGACCGUCUCCUCCAGGCUGCACAGGCUGUGAUACCGCAGAGGGAUGACUGUCUGCUCCUCUGAUGACGGACACUCGAUGAAGGCAAAACAAAGCAUAGCAUCGCUUGUAAAUUUAAACAGAGAUUAUACUGUUGUUCUACAAGAAUUACAGAACAAGUGUGUUAAGAGAUGUGAAUGUUUAUAGUCACUGUCUGCAGGAUCACUGUAUUAUUUUUUGUGUGUCUAGGAAAUGUGCCUAUUGGUUAAAUGUAGACCAUUAAAUGUUGAAUCAUUUCAAAAUGUGCUUUUGAUGCUUGGUCCCUCCCUUUUUUGUUCAGAUAUUGAUUUUAGAUUAGUCCCAUUAGCUUUUCGGUGCUUCAGGUCAGUAUUAGUGAGUGGCAUGUGGAUAUAUACGCACUGCAGUAGACUGUUUUUUGUAUGACUUUCUCCGGGCUCAGCAUUUAGAAUAAUUAACUUUGACUCAAUCUUUUGUGUUAACAUAUGAUUAUGAAGUAAACGUUGGUUGCACACUGUAAUGGCUGUAGAAUUAUGACCCGAGACACGGUGAUUGCUUUCCAAAAAAGCCUCGGUUUACCCGUGCAAAUCUUUCAGGAAAACAAAGGCUGAGUGUCGGUCCAAUUACCUGGCACCAUUUUAAUCUCCUUUCAUGUCUCCAUUGUUGGGUAAAUGAUUGAAUAAACUCACCUUUUCUCCUGUGCUGUUGGAAAAUGGUGCUCUGAGGCAAACAGAAAACCAACUAACUAAUGUAAUCUCAACUAUUCAAAUUUUAAUUAAUAAAUCUAUAACAUUAUUUUCAAGCCUAUGCAUAAAUUAAUACUAUAAAAAUAUUGCUAUUUUUUCAUACUCUGAUGUUUGAAGGAGGGAGCCCAUACACGCUCAUUAUAUAUGUUUUUAUAUUCCAUUGAUUUUUAUAAAACAAGA